CCUACGGGGGGCAGCAGUCGAGAAUCAUUCACAAUGGGGGAAACCCUGAUGGUGCGACGCCGCGUGGGGGAAUGAAGGUCUUCGGAUUGUAAACCCCUGUCAUGUGGGAGCAAAUUAAAAAGAUAGUACCACAAGAGGAAGAGACGGCUAACUCUGUGCCAGCAGCCGCGGUAAUACGUAGGUCUCAUGCUUUGUUCGGAAUCACUGGGCGUAAGGCGUGCGUAGGCUGUUUCGUAAGUCGUGUGUGAAAGGCGCGGGCUCAACCCGCGGACGGCACAUGAUACUGCGAGACUAGAGUAAUGGAGGGGGAACCGGAAUUCUCGGUGUAGCAAUGAAAUGCGUAGAUAUCGAGAGGAACACUCGUGGCGAAGGCGGGUUCCUGGACAUUAACUGACGCUGAGGCACGAAGGCCAGGGGAGCGAAAGGGAUUAGAUACCCGAGUAGUC
rnacentral:rRNA from 1 species